UCAAUAAGACAAGAAGCUGAGGUCAUCUGUUUACCCAUAGGAUAAGGAGAACCCAGGGCCUAGGCAGCCAGCUCUUCUCCACACUAUUCUGCUGCUGAAUUUCAUUCCUUACCAGCAAGAAGAGAAAGUCUUACUUGGCCUCCCUUCUGACUUUUUUUUUUUUAUCA
ensembl:misc_RNA